rnacentral:rRNA from 1 species
GACGAACGCUGGCGGCGUGCUUAACACAUGCAAGUCGAACGGAAAGGCCCUGCUUUUGUGGGGUGCUCGAGUGGCGAACGGGUGAGUAACACGUGAGUAACCUGCCCUUGACUUUGGGAUAACUUCAGGAAACUGGGGCUAAUACCGGAUAGGAGCUCCUGCUGCAUGGUGGGGGUUGGAAAGUUUCGGCGGUUGGGGAUGGACUCGCGGCUUAUCAGCUUGUUGGUGGGGUAGUGGCUUACCAAGGCUUUGACGGGUAGCCGGCCUGAGAGGGUGACCGGCAACAUUGGGACUGAGAUACGGCCCAGACUCCUACGGGAGGAAGCAGUGGGGAAUAUUGCACAAUGGGCGGAAGCCUGAUGCAGAAACGCCGCGUGCGGGAUGACGGCCUUCGGGUUGUAAACGGCUUUCGCCUGUGACGAAGCGUGAGUGACGGUAAUGGGUAAGAAGCACCGGCUAACUACGUG